rnacentral:rRNA from 1 species
GACGAACGCUGGCGGCGUGCUUAACACAUGCAAGUCGAACGGGCUCUGUCUGGCUGUGUGCUGGGUGGGGUUAGUGGCGAACGGGUGAGUAAUACGUGAGUAACCUGCCCUCUUCUUUGGGAUAAGCCUUGGAAACGGGGUCUAAUACUGGAUAUUCCUGUCUGGUCGCAUGGCUGGGUGGGGAAAGUUUUUUUCGGUGGGGGAUGGGCUCGCGGCCUAUCAGCUUGUUGGUGGGGUGAUGGCCUACCAAGGCGUCGACGGGUAGCCGGCCUGAGAGGGUGACCGGCCACACUGGGACUGAGAUACGGCCCAGACUCCUACGGGAGGCAGCAGUGGGGGAUAGUGCACAAUGGGCGCAAGCCUGAGGCAGCGACGCCGCGUGGGGGAUGACGGCUUUCGGGUUGUAAACCUCUUUCGUCGGGGGACAAGGCUCUGCUUGGUGGUGGGGUUGAGGGUACCCGGUGAAGAAGCGCCGGCUAACUACGUG